rnacentral:rRNA from 1 species
ACGGGUGAGUAACACGUGAGUAACCUGCCCCAGACUCUGGGAUAAGCACUGGAAACGGUGUCUAAUACCGGAUACGAGCUUCAGCCGCAUGGCUAGGAGCUGGAAAGAAUUUCGGUCUGGGAUGGACUCGCGGCCUAUCAGCUAGUUGGUGAGGUAAUGGCUCACCAAGGCGACGACGGGUAGCCGGCCUGAGAGGGUGACCGGCCACACUGGGACUGAGACACGGCCCAGACUCCUACGGGAGGCAGCAGUGGGGAAUAUUGCACAAUGGGCGCAAGCCUGAUGCAGCAACGCCGCGUGAGGGACGACGGCCUUCGGGUUGUAAACCUCUUUUAGUAGGGAAGAAGCGAAAGUGACGGUACCUGCAGAAAAAGCACCGGCUAACUACGUGCCAGCAGCCGCGGUAAUACGUAGGGUGCAAGCGUUAUCCGGAAUUAUUGGGCGUAAAGAGCUCGUAGGCGGUUUGUCGCGUCUGCUGUGAAAACUGGAGGCUCAACCUCCAGCCUGCAGUGGGUACGGGCAGACUAGAGUGCGGUAGGGGAGAUUGGAAUUCCUGGUGUAGCGGUGGAAUGCGCAGA